UACGUAGGGUGCAAGCGUUGUCCGGAAUUAUUGGGCGUAAAGAGCUCGUAGGCGGUUUGUCGCGUCGGCUGUGAAAACUGGGGCUUAACCUUCAGCGUGCAGUCGAUACGGGCAGACUUGAGUUCGGUAGGGGAGACUGGAAUUCCUGGUGUAGCGGUGGAAAUGCGCAGAUAUCAGGAGGAACACCGGUGGCGAAGGCGGGUCUCUGGGCCGAUACUGACGCUGAGGAGCGAAAGCGUGGGGAGCGAACAGG
rnacentral:rRNA from 1 species